rnacentral:rRNA from 1 species
GAUGAACGCUGGCGGCGUGCCUAAUACAUGCAAGUCGAGCGAACAGACGAGGAGCUUGCUCCUCUGACGUUAGCGGCGGACGGGUGAGUAACACGUGGAUAACCUACCUAUAAGACUGGGAUAACUUCGGGAAACCGGAGCUAAUACCGGAUAAUAUAUUGAACCGCAUGGUUCAAUAGUGAAAGACGGUUUUGCUGUCACUUAUAGAUGGAUCCGCGCCGCAUUAGCUAGUUGUUAAGGUAACGGCUUACCAAGGCAACGAUGCGUAGCCGACCUGAGAGGGUGAUCGGCCACACUGGAACUGAGACACGGUCCAGACUCCUACGGGAGGCAGCAGUAGGGAAUCUUCCGCAAUGGGCGAAAGCCUGACGGAGCAACGCCGCGUGAGUGAUGAAGGUCUUCGGAUCGUAAAACUCUGUUAUUAGCGAAGAACAAAUGUGUAAGUAACUAUGCACGUCUUGACGGUACCUAAUCAGAAAGCCACGGCUAACUACGUG